GCCAAGGUUGUUUUAGUGGGCGCUUGCUGCGUUUAAAUGUAGGAGGUGCCAUGAUGUCUAGUUGAAAGGAGAGGGUGGAAUUGUAGGAGUUUGCAGAGCUAGGACAGGUGAGUUGAGAUCGGUAAAAGGAGAGUUUGGAGAUUAGUGGAGGUUUCUGAGAUUGAUGUUCAGCCGGUGGUGUCAACUGAGUCUUAGGUGUGCC